CGCAUUAACUAGUUAGUGGGGUAACGGCUACCAAGGCGACGAUCGUACCGACCUGAGAGGGUGAACGGCCACACUGGGACUGAUACACGGCCCAGACUCCUACGGGAGGAUAGCAGUAUGGAAUCUUCCGCAAUGGGCGAAAGCCUGACGGAGCACGNGUGAGUGAUGAAGGUUUUCGGAUCGUAAAGCUCUGGUUGCCAGGGAAGAACGUCCGGUAAGUAACUGUCUGCCGNAGUGACGGUUACCUGAGAAGAAAGCCCCGGUNUAAUCUACGUUGCCANCAGCCGCGGCUAAUACGUAUCGGGGCAAGCGUUGUCCGGAAUUAUUGGGCUGUAAAGGGCGCGCAGGCUGGCUGCUUAAUGUCUGGUGUUNAAAACCUUGGGUCUCAACCGUGUCGGUCGUCACUUGNAAUAUCUGGGUCAGCUUGAUGUACAGAAGAGGAAACGUGGACAUUCCAUCGGUGUAUGCGGUUAAAUUGCGGUAGACGAUGUGUAUCGAACACCACUGGCGAAUGCCGACUUUCCUGGGCAUGUAACUGACCGCAUAGGGGCGAAAGCUCUGGGGAGCACUACCNGAUUAUUGUNCUAGUCCACGCCGUAACCAAUAAGUGCUNGGUGUAGGGGUUUCGAUCCCCUUUGUNCCGAAGUUUUAACNACGAGUUAAAGCAUCGUCNGGCCUGGGGAAGCUACGNGUCUGAAAGACUGAAUCUCAAAGUGANCUUGACGGGGNNCCGGAUCAAAGCCGUGGGNGUUAUUGUGGUUUUAAUUUGAAGCACGCAAGAACCUUACCAGG
rnacentral:rRNA from 1 species